rnacentral:lncRNA from 1 species
UUACAAUAUGUAACCUUGACUAGACUAGACAUCUCCUUCACAGUAAAUAAAUUCUGUCACGACAUGAACUCACCAAUAGAUGACCAUUGGAAGGCUAUUAAAUGCCUACUGCGAUAUCUUCAACAUACUGCUCAACUUGGAUUAUUCAUCACCAAAAAUUCAGAUUUUCAAAUUCAUUGCUUCAGUGACAGUGAUUGGGGAAGUUGUCCUGAUGACUGAAGAUUUACAAAUGGUUACGGUAUAUUUCUUGGAUGGGAAAAAAACAACCAACCAACCAUUGCCUGCUCAUCAACUGUGAGUGAGUAUAAAGCGAUCACCAAUGCAACUUCAAAAUUCUUAUGGAUACAAUUUUGCUUACUGAACUUGGUUGUUUAUCUCCUAGCCGUGCCAUUCUGUGGAGUGAUAAUGUUGGAGUAAUUUACCUUAUAGCUAACCCCAUAUUUCAUGCUCAUACCAAGCAUGUGGAACUUGAUUACCAUUUUGUUGUGAGCAAGUAGCUGCUGGCAAUCUUGAAGUGAAGUUAAUUUCUUCCUCUGAUCAGUUAGCUAACAUAUUUACCAAG